rnacentral:rRNA from 1 species
AUUGAACGCUGGCGGCAGGCCUAACACAUGCAAGUCGAACGAGUGGCGGACGGGUUAGUAAUGUCUGGGAAACUGCCUGAUGGAGGGGGAUAACUACUGGACACGGUCGCUCAUACCGCAUAACAUCCGAUGUGCCCAGAUGGGAUUAGCUAGUUGGUGGGGUAACGGCUCACCAAGGCGACGCUCCCUAGCUGGUCUGAGAGGAUUACAAGCAACACGGAAACGGAGACACGGUCUAGAAUACUACGGGAGGCAGAUGUAGGUAAUAUUGCAAAAUGGGCGGAAGUCUGAUCCAGCAAAGCCGGGGGUGUGAAGAAGGUCUACGGACUGUAAAGCACUUUAAGUUGGGAGGCGUUACCAACAGAAUAAGCACUGGCUAACUUCGGGCCAGCAGACGCGGUAAUAC